ACCUCGCGACCCUUUACGAUCAUCUACGUAGCAUAUCUAGCACGUAACUCUGGUACAUGAGCUUCAGUAAUUGUGAUCUGCCCCCUCAUCACUAUACUCUCUAUAAAAUUCAUGAUGUAGAUGGCACAAUUAGGCCUACAAAAUUUUUGAUGCUCACAAUCAAUAAAACAAACAAAUGAUACCUUGGAUUAGUUGGCACAAAUGUGUGUUGGCAC
rnacentral:lncRNA from 1 species